rnacentral:rRNA from 1 species
AUUGAACGCUGGCGGCAGGCUUAACACAUGCAAGUCGAGCGAGCGGCGGACGGGUGAGUAAUGUCUGGGAAACUGCCUGCUGGAGGGGGAUAACUACUGGAAACGGUAGCUAAUCCCGCAUACCAUCAGAUGUGCCCCGAUGGGAUUAGCUAGUAGGUGGGGUAGUGGCUCACCUAGGCGACGAUCCCUAGCUGGUCUGAGAGGAUGACAGGCCACACUGGGACGGAGACACGGUGCAGACGCCCAGGGGAGGCAGCAGUGGGGAAGAUGGCAAAAUGGGCGAAAGCGUGAUGCAGCGAUGCCGCGUGUGUGAAGAAGGCCUGAGGGCUGUAAAGCACUUUCAGUGAGGAGGCGUUACUCGCAGAAGAAGCACCGGCUAACUCCGUGCCAGCAGCCGCGGUAAUAC